rnacentral:rRNA from 1 species
CCUGAUCCAGCCAUGCCGCGUGAGUGAAGAAGGCCUUCGGGUUGUAAAGCUCUUUCAGCCGGGAAGAAAACGCAUGGGUUAAUACCCUGUGUGGAUGACGGUACCGGAAUAAGAAGCACCGGCUAACUACGUGCCAGCAGCCGCGGUAAUACGUAGGGUGCGAGCGUUAAUCGGAAUUACUGGGCGUAAAGCGUGCGCAGGCGGUUUGUUAAGAUAGGCGUGAAAUCCCCGGGCUCAACCUGGGAACUGCGUUUAUGACUGGCAGGCUAGAGUAUGGCAGAGGGGGGUGGAAUUCCACGUGUAGCAGUGAAAUGCGUAGAGAUGUGGAGGAACACCGAUGGCGAAGGCAGCCCCCUGGGCCAGUACUGACGCUCAUGCACGAAAGCGUGGGUAGCAAACAGGAUUAGAUACCCUGGUAGUCCACGCCCUAAACGAUGUCAACUGGGUGUUGGGUGGGUAAAACCAUUUAAUACCGGAUCUAACGCGUG